rnacentral:rRNA from 1 species
GACGAACGCUGGCGGCGUGCCUAAUACAUGCAAGUUGAGCGAUGAAGAUUGGUGCUUGCACCAAUUUGAAGAGCAGCGAACGGGUGAGUAACGCGUGGGGAAUCUGCCUUUGAGCGGGGGACAACAUUUGGAAACGAAUGCUAAUACCGCAUAAUAACUUUAAACAUAAGUUUUAAGUUUGAAAGAUGCAAUUGCAUCACUCAUAGAUGAUCCCGCGUUGUAUUAGCUAGUUGGUGAGGUAAAGGCUCACCAAGGCGAUGAUACAUAGCCGACCUGAGAGGGUGAUCGGCCACAUUGGGACUGAGACACGGCCCAAACUCCUACGGGAGGCAGCAGUAGGGAAUCUUCGGCAAUGGACGAAAGUCUGACCGAGCAACGCCGCGGGAGUGAAGAAGGUUUUCGGAUCGUAAAACUCUGUUGGUAGAGAAGAAAGUUGGUGAGAGUGGAAAGCUCAUCAAGUGACGGUAACUACCCAGAAAGGGACGGCUAACUACGUG